ensembl:lncRNA
UUAUCCAGGUCAUAUGUGUAUCAUGUAUUAUACUACUUAUGUAUUAUUCUUAAUGUUUGUGGUCAGUUGCUGAGGCUGUUCCCAGGCUGCUCUUUGUCAGAUGUCAUAUCCAGUGCCACUGCUCAAACAGUCAAAGCUCAGUUGAUGGAGCAGACCCAGAUGUGGAAACUUGCUGGCCGUCCUGCGUCAAGGCUUUCAGACAAGCUUCAGAGAAUGGCCCUCCAGCAUGACACAGACAGCCAGUCUGAAACAGCCUCUCAAAGCUCAUUAAGUGUGGAGAAUGUGGAAACAAAACUUAAACCCUGUGUAUCUCCCCGAGACCUGCUCAGCAGCAAGGAACAGGUGACCGAGGCAGUAAGGAAGGUCCUGCACCAGAGGCAGUCUCUGUAUCGUACCGGACCUCGUCUUUCUCCACUUCGCCUUGCAGAUGCUUCAGAGGCUGCCCUCUGUGCUGCCAAGCAUCCAUACGCAUGGAGGAAUUUCAGAGGCUUGGGCCUUAACUGUUGAUGGCUUGUCAGAAUGGCUCUGUAGCAAUCAAACUGCAAAACCCUGCAUAUAAUAUCUUGAGUUUGACCCAAAACAGAUUAAUCACUGAGACAGAGUUUGUCGAAUCUUGCUAUUAUUAAAGAACCUCACAUAUAUGUAGAGUGCAACAACAUAAUAGUACAGAAACACAAACCUAUUCACAGGAAAGCUGUAGCAUUUUUAGUUGGACUACUAAAAAUAUGUAACUUGUAGAUGACUUAGAAAUAAAACCACAAUUUUCUGAGCAUUAGUUUGGCUCAACUUAGGGAAAUGUCUAGAGGGGAAGUUUAUUAUUAGAAGACAAUAACUGUAGAGUUGAAUUCAUUGUAUUUCAAUUUAUUGAUAUUAAUAUUAAAAAAUAUUACUUAUAUGCCAAAAAGGUGCAAUACUUUCUACAGUAUUGGUAGUACAGAGUCAGAAUUGGUUCCACAUUUUUGUGUUACUGCAAGUAGAAGAAACACUUAAGAAUGCCCACCAAUGUGAGAGCUAAACAAGGUGACAGUGGCAUCUGAAUGUGUGGUUGCCGAAAUGGUAUAGCUAAACAGCACCAAUCAAGAGGAAAAGCAGCAGAACUCACAAAUUGAAACACUCUGCAUUUAAAACAGAUGAUGUAGGCAAUGUUGACAAUGCACAAAAAUGGACUGCAAAUAUGGAUUAUAUUAUUUUAUAUUAUAA